CAAAGUAAUACAAAAGCAAAUGAACUGUGCACUCAACCUCUCCAUUCUGUUUCCUCACAUAUAAGAGAGGGAGAGGAGUAACUUUUUAAAUCUUUUUAACUGGGGAGUUAAUGGUUUGCAGUGCAGUUGCUGACACAUAGGUAUAAUUUCUAAUCAUCCUGUGAAAGUUCUCGGCAGGGUGUGGAAAGGAAUAUCCGCAGACUCACUUCUCUUUCUCCAAUCAGCUAGAAAAAGCUACAAAAAUCAACUGAAAAAUCAAUAAAGACAUGACCAGGACUUCUUCAGAAACUCACCAACCCACAGGAAAAAUGAUGCCUGUAUGUCACCAGAUGAGUACUGGAGACCCAGCCCUCCACCGGGUUCCAGAAGCUACCAUGAUGCCAACCUGACUUCCCUGGGCAGAUGACACCACCAAUGUGUCCUGGAGCCCGCUUCCCUACAGCCCUACCCCAAUAGAGAAUGAGAGAGAGAGGCUGGGAGUAUGGAUUGACCUGCCAACACCCAUGUUCAGCGGGGAAGCAGUUAAAGAAGCCAGACCUCCCACCUUCUGCAACCCAUAAUGACCCAGGGUCCAUACUCCCAGAGGGAUAAAGAAUAGGAAAGCUAUCAAGGGAGGGGAUUGGAUAUGGAGUUCUGGUGGUAGGAAUUAUGUGGAAUUGUGCACUUCUUAUCCUAUGGUCUUGUCAAUAUUUCCAUUUUAUAAAUAAAAAUUUUUUAAAAAGCAGA